CAGAAGUUGGAAGGUGUAUGUUUUUGAUUCUCAGCGUGUGGCUGUUUGCCAGAAGACAAAUUAGUUUCAAAAGAAGCUGGAGACAGCAA